CAGCGUGAGAUCGUGAUCAAAAACCAUCCAAAACAAGACAGAACGCCGAUUCAGAGAGCAUUAGGGGUACGGUUUGUAGAAUACUACAAGCGUGAUUGACUUAGCUGCACAAAACAAAGGAAAAGAUUCUUAUAUAAACUAUUAGAGUUCAAGUUUCUGAUGAAUUUAGUUCCACAAGUAUCUGAGUCUCCGGGUCUGGAUUCAACUUUGUUGGGCACUCGGGGUUACAAUCUGAAGGGGGAUCUUUGAGCCAAAAUGAAGCUGCGAUAACAGUGAAACUGAGACUCACCAGAAAUAGAAUAACAAGAGUAAGAUGGAGUAUUAGGGCCACAAUAAGACAAAAAAAAAUUAAGACUUUGAGAUUAAAAUCAUUAUGUACGAGAAUAAAGUCAUAAUAAAAUCAUUACGAGAAUGAAGUUGUACAGUAAAUGAAGCAAAGCUGCUUUUGAGGGAUUUAGCCUCUGCACAUCCAUUUCCAGCCAUUUCCCCCUCUUAAAAAAACAGCGAUAGGUGUCAUCAGGUAAAAGGAGUUUUACCCUGACAAUUCUGUGACAAAUUAGAGUUGGUUUGGAGAGCGACACGCGGUUACCUCUUGAGCUUUAAACCUUUAAUUCCUGACUACAGAGAAACGGCCAAAAUGUGCAGAUUUACUCCAAGAGUGACAACGUCUUCCUGCAUCUCUGUUCUGCUCUCUGUUCUGUUUCCUCACUGUUAGAUGGAUUUUCUUCAGCCAAUCCCGUCAGCUUUUAGAGUGGUGGAGCCAUGCAACUCAAAUACCAGGGAUGCGUUGGUGUUAGAUUGCUGGAGCCGGGGGCCUCCGACAACCAUCCUCAACCCAAAAUAUGUUCUGCUGUGGUAUUCCCCUCUAUGGACUUUCCAUACGUUCACCUAAGGUCCUUAAAAUAUGUUGUCCUUUGUUUUUACCUUACAUGGACUCUUCUUCAGGUCAACUAAAUGCCAGCAGAAUGUUUGGAAAUGUGGACAGCCGUAUAUACUUGAACAGUCUCAGACCAAUCUUUGUUGAAGCUGUAACCCAGAUCUGCAACCAGUAAAGUUUGUCAAACUGACCAUUCGUGUGGACCUUCCAUUCUUUCAGGUGUGAACCUGGGCGAGGCUUCCUUACAUUCGUAAGAAAAGGCCCCCAAAGAAAUCUUUUAUUCAUAUUCCAAAAUGGACUCCUCUGAGUAUACGUCAGCUCGGUCACUGGUAAAUCUCCCUUUAUAGAGCCACUCUGGGUCAAAUACCUGACUCUCUUUUCUCCCUCUGAGUUUUUAUAUGUUGGAUGAUGUGCAGUUUUUCAUUGAACUGAGAUGGUAGAAGCAUUUUUGGUAUUUUGCCCCUUUUUCCUGAAGUUAUAGAAGAUGGAUCCGAACCCUCCUCGUACACGGUAAGACAGAUCCUGGACAGUAUCAGCAAAAGUGUGAGGCCUUCAUAGAUUUGAAGUUAUCUGUGGCUCUUUCUGAAUAUUGUGCCAAACUAUUUUCUGGACUUGGAUUUUGGCAACCCUGUUUGUUGCACCCGUCCUCCUCGGCCUCUUCAUUUGUCCAUGAAGACAGUUAAACCGAUAAAAAACUGUGAUCACUUCAUUAUCUCUGGAGUCUCUUUCCUCGUUUUAAUGUUCCAGCUGGUUUGUGUUGUGAUGCUGGUAAAUAUACACACACACUCACAAACCUCCACACUGGGUUCAUCAGCCUGAAGUUUAACAGUUUAUUAGACAGAAGAGUGAAACUCGCAGGUCUCACUCGUAGAAACAAAAACCUUUUGUCCUCUGUUCCUUCACUUCCUGUUGUGUUUUGGCGGCAGACUGUCAGGAGUCGCAGAUCCAUCAGCUCGAGGUCGUCGGCCCGGUUUGGACCAGCUGUCUGAAGGAAAGUAGACAAACAAGAGACGAGGAACUGCUUCACUCCCACACAUCUCUGAUUGCGUGAAAAUAGUUAAAUCUCUGAUGGGAGAGGUCCUGCCAAAAAGGAUGAAGAUGACACUUUAGCAGAAGAAGAUGACGCU
rnacentral:lncRNA from 1 species